AACUCGGCCAUUUAGAGGAAGUACAAGUCGUAACAAGGUUUCCGUAGGUGAACCUGCGGAAGGAUCAUAGUAAUCGUCUUUGACGUUCGCUUUUCCCUCGUCCUCGGGGCAUUAAGCUGCUCUGGUCGAGGAUGAAUGACCCCUCUGACCGAGGUCAAACCUGUCGCUCUGUGUUACCUCUAAAAAAUUUUUUCCGAGGCACACCUUAAAGAUCGUUCCGCAUUGUGAGUCUAACACCAGUUGUAUAAACUUUUUACAACCGGUAGCGCUGGAUCCCUUGGCACGUCAUUCGAUGAAGACCGUUGCAAAUUGCGAUAAAGUGAUGUGAUGCGCAAGUCCACCACUUAUACGUGAAUCAUCGAGUUGUUGAACGCAUUGCACCGCGCCCUAAUCCGGCUGCGGUAUGCCCCUUUGAGCGUCAUUGUAUUCCUUCGGGAGUCCUUUUACAAGGACCCGAGUUCGGAGUCCUCGGUCCCCUGUGGAUCGUGUUCUCUCAGAUCCCUCGCACCGAUCGCCUGAUGGGUCCUCUAAUGCCUAAGCGUGGAGGUCCUUCAGAGUCCGAGAGGUGCUUGACCGAGUCUUGAGCUCGUGUCACCAAGUCUGCCUAACAGCAGUACUACAACCCAUGACCUCAUUGGGGUAGGACAACCCGCUAGACUUAAGCAUAUUAAUCAGCGGAGGAAAAGAAACUAACCAGGAUUCCCUCAGUAACUGCGAGUGAAGCGGGAUCGGCUCAAUGUGUGAAUCUGGCGG
rnacentral:rRNA from 1 species